GAUGAACGCUGGCGGCGUGCCUAAUACAUGCAAGUCGAGCGAACAGACGAGGAGCUUGCUCCUCUGACGUUAGCGGCGGACGGGUGAGUAACACGUGGAUAACCUACCUAUAAGACUGGGAUAACUUCGGGACACCGGAGCUAAUACCGGAUAAUAUAUUGAACCGCAUGGUUCAAUAGUGAAAGACGGUUUUGCUGUCACUUAUAGAUGGAUCCGCGCCGCAUUAGCUAGUUGGUAAGGUAACGGCUUACCAAGGCAACGAUGCGUAGCCGACCUGAGAGAGUGAUCGGCCACACUGGAGCUGGACCACGGUCCAGGCUCCUGCGAGAGGCAGCAGUAGGGAAUCGGCCGCAGUGGGCGAAAGCCUGACGGAACAGCGCCGCGUGAGUGAUAGAGGUCUUCGGAUCGUAAAACUCUGUUAUUAGGGAAGAACAGAUGUGUAAGUAACUAUGCACGUCUUGACGGUACCUAAUCAGAAAGCCACGGCUAACUACGUG
rnacentral:rRNA from 1 species